rnacentral:lncRNA from 1 species
GGUAAUUGUUGCAGAAAUUUAUCCCUCCUGCCAUAGCUCAAACGCAAGGCUCAGAUUUGCUAUUUUUAACCAGAGGCUAUUCUAGAAGUCAUUAGCUAGUCAGUUCAACUCCUGAAUACAUAUGGUCUUCUUAGAAUGUUAUACAGGCCUCAAUAACAACCCCUUGACAGCUAUUUUCUUCCUUCUUUCCUUUCCUUUCCUUUUUUUCUUUUAUAGUUACUUUCCUCCCUCUGAGGUCACUAUGAGAAAAAUACUCAAAGCAGAGGAAACAAAUAUUUAUCAGCUUGAAAAGGAACUGUUCUAAUGCUGAUGUCAUAUAAAAUGAGGCCAAAAUUAUACAAAAACAGGCCAAGGUACUGUGUGACAUACUAUGAACCCAAAGAAGAUUGUGCUGAGCUUUUGGAAGUGCACCUGCCCUGCCUCUUUAACUUUUGUGAGUACUGUAGUUUGAACAUGAUUUGCCCUACAAAACAAGAAAACCUGAUAGCCACAUUCUGUUCUAUUCAUCCACCAAGUUAUUGGCUGUAGUGAGUGAUGCAUGUCCUGGGGAACUGGAGACCAGUGCUGAGUGAAUUUGGUGACUUCAUUGCCAUCUGGCAUGAAUAUCAGAGAAAUUACCCGGCCUGCUGCCACAUGUCUAAGUGGAUGUUUGACAAGGCCUGGUCCUAGGGGACAGCAGAAGAGAAAUAUCGAGGACCAAGGGACUGGAGGAAGGUAGAAAGAAGUGACCACAUAAACACCGUUGGCGGAAACAUUCAGCUCUCUCCAGCCCCGUGCGACCUCAGGAGCUAGAUGGAACCAUUUCUUUAGGGAAAGCUGGCAGUUGUUUAUACAACCGCAAGCUGAGCAUCCAGGUGACCAGUCCAGCGUUUCUUCCCCAGCACCUCUCUGCACACUUCUCUUUUUCCUCUUUGCAGAAAGUCAGUGGGAACAGGACCCUUUCCUUGAAUCUUUCCUAGAGGAUUUCAAGAGCCCAGCUCUCAGGUUUGGGGCUUACCUCACUGAUGCUCUUGGAAGCAGGCCAGGAAGACGCGGUCAUUUCCACCUCCUACCGCUAGAGAGCAGCGCGUCACCACAGGGACCCUUGAGCCGCGAAACGCUUCGCCUUGUGCGGAGAGAAUCCUCCCCAAGGCCUGGACGCAGUUCUUCCAAUUCCGUUUCCCCAGGGUUUGGCCUAGGAUCUUGGACAGCACUUUAUAAUUACAGACAUUCUGCCUGCUCAGGCCUCUCACCCCAGGCUGUGCCCCCGCAGGUGUUCAGACAUUUCUGUUGCCUGUUGAGGAGAAAAUGGACUGAGGGAACGAGGGCAGAGGGACAGCGCCAUCGGCCGGGCAGGACUCUGGCUGGACUCACUCCCGGCGCCCCUGCGAACUGGGGGCCCUGCCCUUAGUGCCUGUCACUACAUGUGACAAAUGGCUCUGUUUUUCUGAGCUACACACACCCACCCCCAGUGACAUCUGCCUUCUUCCGAAGAUAUCAGAGGAGAGAAGGCAGGAUUACUCAUGACAGUCACGAUUUGCUCUGUCCCACAGUGCAGAUGGAAAAACUGAGGCAUGAAGAGGCCGCUUCAUGAACUAUUUUGAACUAUAAAUGAGUACAGCAUGAAGCAUCAUCAUUUACCACCAGGACAGUAUGACAUUAGAAUUUAGGUAUGUUGGCCAGGGUAUUUUUUAGUGGCUUAUGCAUUGGAAUUAGGAUGAAGCUGGAAACCAUCAUUCUGAGCAAACUAUCGCAAGUACAGAAAACCAAACACCGCAUGUUCUCAC